rnacentral:rRNA from 1 species
GACGAACGCUGGCGGCGUGCCUAAUACAUGCAAGUAGAACGCUGAAGAGAGGAGCUUGCUCUUCUUGGAUGAGUUGCGAACGGGUGAGUAACGCGUAGGUAACCUGCCUUGUAGCGGGGGAUAACUAUUGGAAACGAUAGCUAAUACCGCAUAACAAUAGGUGACACAUGUCAUUUAUUUGAAAGGGGCAAUUGCUCCACUACAAGAUGGACCUGCGUUGUAUUAGCUAGUAGGUGAGGUAACGGCUCACCUAGGCGACGAUACAUAGCCGACCUGAGAGGGUGGUCGGCCACACUGGGACGGAGACACGGCCCAGACUCCUACGGGAGGCAGCAGUAGGGCAUCUUCGGCAAUGGGGGCAACCCUGACCGAGCAACGCCGCGUGAGUGAAGAAGGUUUUCGGAUCGUAAAGCUCUGUUGUAAGUCAAGAACGAGUGUGAGAGUGGAAAGUUCACACUGUGACGGUAGCUUACCAGAAAGGGACGGCUAACUACGUG